rnacentral:rRNA from 1 species
CCUCGGGAGGCUGCAGUGGGGAAUAUUGGACAAUGGGGGGAACCCUGAUCCAGCCAUGCCGCGUGUGUGAAGAAGGCCCUCGGGUUGUAAAGCACUUUCAGUGAGGAAGAACGCCUGGUGGUUAAUACCCAUCAGGAAAGACAUCACUCACAGAAGAAGCACCGGCUAACUCCGUGCCAGCAGCCGCGGUAAUACGGAGGGUGCGAGCGUUAAUCGGAAUUACUGGGCGUAAAGCGCGCGUAGGUGGCUUGAUAAGCCGGUUGUGAAAGCCCCGGGCUCAACCUGGGAACGGCAUCCGGAACUGUCAAGCUAGAGUGCAGGAGAGGAAGGUAGAAUUCCCGGUGUAGCGGUGAAAUGCGUAGAGAUCGGGAGGAAUACCAGUGGCGAAGGCGGCCUUCUGGACUGACACUGACACUGAGGUGCGAAAGCGUGGGUAGCAAACAGGAUUAGAUACCCUAGUAGUC